GUAGGCAAAUCCGCUUUGAUAAUGCUGGGAUGUGAUGGGGAGCGAAAUUUAGUAGCGAAGUAGCUGAUUUCACACUGUCAAGAAAAGUCUCUAUCGAGGUUAAAGGUACCCGUACCGCAAACCGACACAGGUGGGUGAGGAGAGUAUCCUAAGGCCAGCGAGAGAACUGUUGUUAAGGAACUCGGCAAAAUGACCCCGUAACUUAGGGAUAAGGGGUGCCACCAUCAGGUGGCCGCAGAGAAUAGGCCCAAGCGACUGUUUACCAAAAACAUAGGUUUCUGCUAAGUCGCAAGACGAUGUAUAGGAGCUGACGCCUGCCCGGUGCUGGAAGGUUAAGGGGAUCUGUUAGAG
rnacentral:rRNA from 1 species